UUCCUACGGGGGGCAGCAGUGGGGAAUAUUGCACAAUGGGGGAAACCCUGAUGCAGCGACGCCGCGUGAGCGAGGAAGUAUUUCGGUAUGUAAAGCUCUAUCAGCAGGGACGAAAAAAGACGGUACCUGACUAAGAAGCCCCGGCUAACUACGUGCCAGCAGCCGCGGUAAUACGUAGGGGGCAAGCGUUAUCCGGAUUUACUGGGUGUAAAGGGAGCGUAGACGGCAAGGCAAGCCAGAAGUGAAAGGGCAGGGCUCAACCCUGUACAUGCUUUUGGAACUGUGGUGCUAGAGUGCAGGAGAGG
rnacentral:rRNA from 1 species